UCCAAUUGAAGCAGAGGACAGUGGCGGACGGGUGAGUAACGCGUGAGGAACCUGCCUUUCAGAGGGGGACAACAGUUGGAAACGACUGCUAAUACCGCAUGACACAUAGGUGUCGCAUGGCACAGGGGUCAAAGGAUUUAUCCGCUGAAAGAUGGCCUCGCGUCUGAUUAGCUAGUUGGUGAGGUAACGGCCCACCAAGGCGACGAUCAGUAGCCGACCUGAGAGGGUGACCGGCCACAUUGGGACUGAGACACGGCCCAGACUCC
rnacentral:rRNA from 1 species